ACAUUUUUAAAUGAUUUGAAUAUACCACCCCAGUCUGAAUUUGACUGAUUGGUACCCCUCUGAUAAUUU